CCUACGGGAGGCAGCAGUAGGGAAUCUUCCACAAUGGGCGCAAGCCUGAUGGAGCAACGCCGCGUGGGUGAAGAAGGUCUUCGGAUCGUAAAACCCUGUUGUUAGAGAAGAAAGUGCGUGAGAGUAACUGUUCACGGUUCGACGGUAUCUAACCAGAAAGCCACGGCUAACUACGUGCCAACAGCCGCGGUAAUACGUAGGUGGCAAGCGUUAUCCGGAAUUAUUGGGCGUAAAGGGAACGCAGGCGGGCUUUUAAGUCUGAUGUGAAAGCCUUCGGCUUAACCGGUGUAGGGCAUUGGAAACUGGGGGACUUGAGUGCAGAAGAGGAGAGUGGAACUCCAUGUGUAGCGGUGAAAUGCGUAGAUAUAUGGAAGAACACCAGUGGCGAAGGCGGCCGUCUGGUCUGUAACUGACGCUGAGGUUCGAAAGCGUGGGUAGCAAAUAGGAUUAGAUACCCCUGUAGUC
rnacentral:rRNA from 1 species